CCGUCGCCGAAACUACUUUUGCUGUUGUUGCGUUGCUACUACUAUCUUAAUAUUUUUGUUCUGUGUGCAGUUGUCGUAUGUUUUCGAAAGGGAAUCCGGUUGAUAUUCCGGAACCGAGUAACGGAGACAAAGAGUAGCGCUUUAAUCUCUUUCGGGUUGGCGUUCAACUCAAUCGCGCGGUAACGCAAGCGAACUCGGAAAAUGACCGUCGUGAGUUUCGAAAAGAGUUUUCUUUUCUUUUUAAGGGACGCAUUCCCUGGAACCGGGUUGUCCGGAGAUAGGGAUUCUGGUAUCCAUAAAACGCCGACUCUUUCACGGUGUUCGGAGCGCUCUCGUCGGUACGUGAAAAUCCGAGCGACGCCUGGUAAAUCUCGUACUUGGUCGUACUGAUAUCCGCAGCAGGUCUCCAAGGUGAAUAGCCUCUGGCCGAUAGAAUAAUGUAGGUAAGGGAAGUCGGCAAAACGGAUCCGUAACUUCGGAACAAGGAUUGGCUCUAAGGGCUGGGCCGAUCGGGCUGAGGUUUCAAGCGUGCAGUGUAUGCUUGGCUGAGUUGUGUUGAGGAUUGAUUCGCUUGGUGCCGUUUGUUGAACCAAUCGGCUUGCCAGGUGGUCAUGUCUGAAGCAAAGCUGGCCGACAGACCGGCACGUGCAGAACCUGAGCUGCGCGGCUGUCAGUUCAUUUGUACAGACCGUUUCGGUCGGCAUUCAACAGCCAACUUAGAACUGGCACGGACACAAGGAAUCUGACUGUAUAAUUAAAACAAAGCAUUGCGAUGGCCGAUGAUCGGUGUUGACGCAAUGUGAUUUCUGCCCAGUGCUCUGAAUGUCAGAAGAAGACGAUCUAGCGCUUGGAAGAAAGAAGAAAGAAGAGUGAGAAGACCCGCCCGCCCCCCGCACAGAAGAUGAUGACCCAGCGUUUGGAAGAAAGAAGACCAGCCCGGCCUCGGCCUAGAAGAAGAUGACCUAGCGCUUGGAAGACCGAAAUACAGAAAACAGAAGAAAGAAGCGCCCCCCCCGAAGACGCCCCUACUUGUUGUCCAGUCCCAUGGUCGUCGCCAGCCCCCCCUUUCGUAUUGUUACUUAUUUAUUGCUGUUGCUGUUGUUAUUGCUAUUACUGUCAUGUAAUGCCCUCGCUGAGCCCGCCCCCACUCUCCCCCUCCGGUACCCGCGACUAGCCAUGCUCUGACUCUUGGCGGGACGCUAGGUAGCGAUGGGAUGCAGGGGAAUCUCAAGUGAAGCUCAUACUUGAAUUAGAUUGACGCAGUAAGCGUUCUUCUUCGGGAGAGCCUUACAAACAGUCCAAAUAGCCAAAUGCCUCGUCAUCUAAUUAGUGACGCGUAUGAAUGGAUCAACAAGAUUCCUUCUGUCCCUAUCUACUAUCUAGCGAAACCACAGCCAAGGGAACGGGCUUGGCAAAAUCAGCGGGGAAAGAAGACCCUGUUGAGCUUGACUCUAGUCUGACUCUGUGAAGAGACAUGAAAGGUGUAGCAUAGGUGGGAGGCUGCAGUAGGGCGCUGUUCGGUGUCUCUGUGGUCGCCAAUGAAAUACCACUACUUUGAUCGUUUCUUUACUUAUUCGGUAAAGCGAAAAAAUUGUGGCCAAUUUGGCGGUCUGUCCGCUGUUGGUCAUUGUUUUAAUGUUGGAUUGAAGCUUUGUUUAUAGCCGUCGCUUUGUGUCGCCGUUUGACGCAUUGGCUGGGUGCGUAUUUGUGCGCGCGCGGUAAUGUUGUCAGCGGAUGAUCGGCGAUUGGUUUGAAGUGAUUCGCUCCGGAAACAGUGUCAGACGGGGAGUUUGACUGGGGCGGUACAUCUGUUAAACGAUAACGCAGGUGUCCUAAGGUAAGCUCAGCGAGGACAGAAACCUCGCCUAGAGUAAACGGGCACAAGCUUACUUGAUUUUGAUUUCCAGUACGAAUAAAAACCGCGAAAGCGUGGCCUAUCGAUCCUUUUGAUUGUGUAGAUUUCACGCAAGAGGUGUCAGAAAAGUUACCACAGGGAUAACUGGCUUGUGGCAGCCAAGCGUCCAUAGCGACGUUGCUUUUUGAUCCUUCGAUGUCGGCUCUUCCUAUCAUUGCGAAGCAGAAUUCGCCAAGCGUUGGAUUGUUCACCCACCAAUAGGGAACGUGAGCUGGGUUUAGACCGUCGUGAGACAGGUUAGUUUUACCCUACUGAUGACAAGUCGUUGCGAUAGUAAUCCUGCUCAGUACGAGAGGAACCGCGGGAUCAGACAUUUGGUUCAUGCGCUCGGCUGAAAGGCCGGUGGCGCGAAGCUAGCAUCUGCAAGAUUAUGACUGAACGCCUCUAAGUCAGAAUCUUUUCUAGUCAUUGGCAACGAUAAGUUGCGUCCGGACUCGAUGCGAGGAAACGAUUAGGCUUUGCUGUGUUUUGCGCAGCGAAGCCGUUAUCAUACCACGGUAGCAGGCAGUUGGGAUGGUUACGAAAAAGCAAUUUUUUGAAGUCAGUUGAAUUCAAUCAAACUGCUAACAAUCCCACUGCGAAUGACUACACUCGAAUCU
rnacentral:rRNA from 1 species